rnacentral:rRNA from 1 species
AUGAACGCUAGCGACAGGCUUAACACAUGCAAGUCGAGGGGCAGCGGGGGAUAAGCUUGCUUUUCCUGCCGGCGACCGGCGCACGGGUGAGUAACACGUAUGCAACCUGCCCCUGUCAGAGGGAUAAUCCGGAGAAAUCCGGUCUAAUAUCGCAUAAAGCGUUUGCGGGGCAUCCUGCGAGCGCCAAAGGAGUAAUCCGGACAGGGAUGGGCAUGCGGCGCAUUAGCUAGUUGGGGGGGUAACGGCCCACCAAGGCGACGAUGCGUAGGGGUUCUGAGAGGAAGGUCCCCCACAUUGGUACUGAGACACGGACCAAACUCCUACGGGAGGCAGCAGUGAGGAAUAUUGGUCAAUGGGCGGAAGCCUGAACCAGCCAAGUCGCGUGAGGGAAGACGGCCCUAUGGGUUGUAAACCUCUUUUGCCGGGGAGCAAAAGCGCCGUGCGCGGUGCUAUGAGAGUACCCGGAGAAAAAGCAUCGGCUAACUCCGUGCCAGCAGCCGCGGUAAUACGGAGGAUGCGAGCGUUAUCCGGAUUUAUUGGGUUUAAAGGGUGCGUAGGCGGACAGUUAAGUCAGCGGUCAAAACGGGCGGCUCAACCGCCUGCCGCCGUUGAAACUGGCAGUCUAGAGUGGGCGAGAAGUACGCGGAAUGCGCGGUGUAGCGGUGAAAUGCAUAGAUAUUGCGCAGAACUCCGAUUGCGAAGGCAGCGUACCGGCGCCCGACUGACGCUGAGGCACGAAAGCGUGGGGAUCGAACAGGAUUAGAUACCCUGGUAGUCCACGCAGUAAACGAUGGACACUAUCUGUUCGGGUCGAAUGGGAUCUGAGUGGCACAGCGAAAGCGUUAAGUGUCCCACCUGGGGAGUACGCCGGCAACGGUGAAACUCAAAGGAAUUGACGGGGGCCCGCACAAGCAGCGGAGCAUGUGGUUUAAUUCGAAGCAACGCGAAGAACCUUACCAGGUCUUGACAUCCUACUAACGAGAUAGAGAUAUGUUAGGUGCCCUUCGGGGAAAGUAGAGACAGGUGGUGCAUGGUUGUCGUCAGCUCGUGUCGUGAGAUGUUGGGUUAAGUCCCGCAACGAGCGCAACCCCUAUCCCCAGUAGCCAGCAGUCCGGCUGGGCACUCUGAGGAGACUGCCAGGGAUAACCUGGAGGAAGGCGGGGAUGACGUCAAAUCAGCACGGCCCUUACGUCCGGGGCGACACACGUGUUACAAUGGCAGGGACAGAGGGAAGCCACCGGGCGACCGGGCGCGGACCCCGAAACCCUGUCUCAGUUCGGAUCGGAGUCUGCAACUCGACUCCGUGAAGCUGGAUUCGCUAGUAAUCGCGCAUCAGCCAUGGCGCGGUGAAUACGUUCCCGGGCCUUGUACACACCGCCCGUCAAGCCAUGGAAGCCGGGAGUGCCUGAAGUGCGUGACCGCAAGGAGCGCCCUAGGGUAAAACCGGUGACUGGGGCU